UUCGACCUUUUUCUAGGUUUCAUCGACUGCUUUCUUGGAGAGAACCCAACACUCUCUCUCUCUCAGAAACAAAUCCUUAGACAAAUUUCCAGAAUCAAAACCUAGAAAUCUCACAAUGAAAACACAAAUUGAAACCUAAAUUUCAGUAAUCACAACAUAGAAAUCUCGAUCUAUUCUCAAAACCUAGAAAUCUUGAUCAUCAGAACCUUAAAAAAAUUUUAAACCUAGAAUGCAAAAUCAGUUUUGUUACUGAAAUCUGAAAUCAAUUCAUCUUUGAUUAUCAUCAGGUGAAUCUAUUACAGCUGAGAACGAAACAAGGGAAGGAGAGUACUACGUCUGGCACGAGUUUCGUAGAGUAAAAUUGUUGUUCUAAGGACUUGAAAGGUAUCGACGUAUCGUGCACGAAACCUGUUCAUCACAGAGAGGGAAGCAAUUGCAGGUGGUGAAUUGGAUUGUGGAGCUGAGUAGAGUCAGCUAGGAGAUGUUGCUGCCGCUGCU